rnacentral:rRNA from 1 species
GACAGAGGUGCCGAGCGUUAGGCGGAAUCACUGGGCUUAAAGCGUGUGUAGGCGGAUCCGUAAGUACCUUGUGAAAUCCCACGGCUCAACCGUGGAACUGCUCGGUAUACUGCGAAUCUUGAGCCACGUAGGGGCUACCGGAACAAAUGGUGGAGCGGUGAAAUGCGUAGAUAUCAUUUGGAACGCCAAUGGUGAAAACAGGUAGCUGGGAGUGUGCUGACGCUGAGACACGAAAGCCAGGGGAGCGAACGGG